rnacentral:lncRNA from 1 species
CCAUGUUCAUCAUUCAUUAAGUGAAAAGGCUACAUUAGCUAAGAAUCAAUAUAAUCAACAAUAUAGGAAGGCCACAUAUACCGCAACACCGAGCAGCAUAAACAGACCACCGAGAUGAAAGUGCCCCACUGAUCACGACUGCAAUGUCAUGAUAGAGCUCUUAUUCUGGAACCAUCCGCACAAGGAUUGAUCUACCAAUCAACAAUGUAACGCUAUACUUUAAGAAAUAGGUAAAUCAACGUGGCCAGAUCCUGAACCUGAAACUUUAUAGCGUUGUAUCGCGACGGUCUCUACAAUGAGCCCAGUCGCUGAAUCAAAGCAAAAUCGAAAAAGAAGGGAGGCAACAUCGAUCAGAUAAACCCACAAAUCAAUCAUCGAAAGCAAAAGCAGAAACUAGGCAUGGAAAGGGAAAACCAGCACGGGCUUGUGAAGACCAAUUUCCCCAUACGAUGGUGAUCUGACAAAGCAAAGAUCCGAAGCAUAGGAAGAACUCGAUGAGGAGAAAUGGGGUUUAGGGGGGCAUCACAGAGGAUGCUGGGUUUUCCGGCAUUGUCAAGACCGACCACGAGGAUCCGAGCCUUUCGAUCGCCGAGGAGGAACGAGAACCUGCGACUCAAGAGCAUGCCGUCAGUUGCAGCAGAUCUUGACGCUUCGGUUCGUCCCCGUUGAGUCCAGAUCCAAGCAGUAGAACCCUAAUACUGCGAUCAAUUGAGAAGAGUCGGCGAAAUCGAGAUCGAGAUCGAGAGGGAGAGAAGACCUGGGAGAAGAAUUAGUUCUGCUGCUCGCCGAAAUCGAGAUCGAAAUCGAGUCGGUGGUUGUUCCUCUUGUUGGAAGCGAGCGAGAGAGAGAGAGAGAGAGAGAGAGAGCGAGCGAGAG